rnacentral:tRNA from 1 species
CCUGUAGCUCAGUUGGUUAGAGCAGUGGACUCAUAAUCCAUUUGUCGUAGGUUCGAGUCCUACCGGGGC